rnacentral:rRNA from 1 species
AAGCCAGUGGUGAACUCCACAUACGCAUCCUUUGCUGAGGAUACGGUUAACGGAGCGAAAGCGACGUUCAACCGCAAAAGAAGCAGAGGGGGCUUAGUGGUGGGGUGACUGCGUACCUUUUGUAUAAUGGGUCAGCGACUUAUAUUCUGUAGCAAGGUUAACCGUAUAGGGGAGCCGGAGGGAAACCGAGUCUUAACCGGGCGUUAAGUUGCAGGGUAUAGACCCGAAACCCGGUGAUCUAGCCAUGGGCAGGUUGAAGGUUGGGUAACACUAACUGGAGGACCGAACCGACUAAUGUUGAAAAAUUAGCGGAUGACCUGUGGCUGGGGGUGAAAGGCCAAUCAAACCGGGAGAUAGCUGGUUCUCCCCGAAAGCU